rnacentral:rRNA from 1 species
CAAUAGCGUAUAUUAAAGUUGUUGCAGUUAAAACGCUCGUAGUUGAAUUUCUGUUUAAGACUUCAGGUCCGCCCUCUGGGUGUGUACCUGCUAGGCUUGAACAUCCUUCUGGAAAACGUAUGGUGCUUAACUGUGUCAUGCGUGAUUCAGAACCUUUACUUUGAGAAAAUUAGAGUGUUUCAAGCAGGCAUACGCCUUGAAUACAUUAGCAUGGAAUAAUAAGAUAGGACUUUGGUUCUAUUUUGUUGGUUUCUAGAGCCUUAGUAAUGAUUAAUAGGGAUAGUUGGGGGCAUUCGUAUUCAACUGUCAGAGGUGAAAUUCUUGGAUUUGUUGAAGACGAACUACUGCGAAAGCAUUUGCCAAGGAUGUUUUCAUUAA